rnacentral:lncRNA from 1 species
UAGAGUUAUGGAAUGGCUCGGGUUGGAGGGGGCCUGAAGGAUCACCCAGUUCCAUCCCCCUGCUGCAGGCGGGGAUAACACCCACAAGAUCAGGUUGGCCAAAGCCCCAUCCAGCCUGGUCUUGAGGACCUCCAGGUAUGGGGCAUCCACAGCCUCUCUUGGCAGCCUGUUCCCAUGCCCCACCACGAUGAACGUUGCCAAACACUUGUGAUGCUGUGGGUAAAGUUGUGUGUUAUAAUCCCAGCAUGUAUGUGUGUGUCUGCUGGGUGAGUAUCUGACCUGUAUCGAUGUAAAUAAUCGGGGUGACAGCUGAAGGUCUAAUUGAACCUUUCAGGAUACUGCCAUCAAGUACAUGACGGAUGGCUGCUUGUUGAGGCAUAUUUUGGCCGACCCCCUUCUCAGCAAGUACAGUGUCAUCAUUCUGGAUGAAGCCCACGAGCGGAGCCUUAGCACUUCUGUUUUCAACUGAAGGUUCUGUAAGAGGUCUGCAUCUUGAAAUUACCUCUGU